UACGUAGGGGACGAGCGUUGUCCGGAAUUAUUGGGCGUAAAGAGCGUGUAGGCGGCUCUGCAAGUCCUGCGUGAAAUCUCGAGGCUCAACCUCGAGCGGUCGUGGGAAACUGGAGGGCUAGAGUGCGGGAGAGGGAAGUGGAAUUCCAGGUGUAGCGGUGAAAUGCGCAGAUAUCUGGAGGAAUACCGGUGGCGAAGGCGGCAUCCUGGACCGGCAUUGACGCUGAGGAGCGAAAGCUAGGGGAGCAAACGGG
rnacentral:rRNA from 1 species